CUCUGGGUGGUGUAAACGAUUAACACAUUUGGCUGGUAACCAAAAGGUUGGAGGUUUGAGUCCACUCAGAGG
rnacentral:tRNA from 1 species